rnacentral:rRNA from 1 species
ACGUGAGGGAUGACGGCCUUCGGGUUGUAAACCUCUUCAGCAGGGAGAAGCGAAAGUGACGGUACCUGCAGAAGAAGCGCCGGCUAACUACGUGCCAGCAGCCGCGGUAAUACGUAGGGCGCAAGCGUUGUCCGGAAUUAUUGGGCGUAAAGAGCUCGUAGGCGGUCUGUCGCGUCUGGUGUGAAAUCCCAUGGCUCAACUGUGGGCUUGCAUCGGGUACGGGCAGACUAGAGUGCUGUAGGGGAGACUGGAAUUCCUGGUGUAGCGGUGGAAUGCGCAGAUAUCAGGAGGAACACCGAUGGCGAAGGCAGGUCUCUGGGCAGUUACUGACGCUGAGGAGCGAAAGCAUGGGGAGCGAACAGGAUUAGAUACCCUGGUAGUCCAUGCCGUAAACGUUGGGCACUAGGUGUGGGGCGGGUUCCACUCGUUCUGUGCCGCAGCUAACGCAUUAAGUGCCCCGCCUGGGGAGUACGGCCGCAAGGCUA